GGAUCAUUGCUGGAACGCGCCCCAGGCAGCACCCAGAAACCCUUUGUGAACUCAUACCUUACUGUUGCCUCGGCGCAGGCCGGCCCCCUCGGGGGCCCCCCGAGAGACGGGGAGCAGGCCCGCCGGCGGCCAAGUCAACUCUUGUUUUUACACUGAAACUCUGAGGACAAAUAAUAAAUGAAUCAAAACUUUCAACAACGGAUCUCUUGGUUCUGGCAUCGAUGAAGAACGCAGCGAAAUGCGAUAAGUAAUGUGAAUUGCAGAAUUCAGUGAAUCAUCGAAUCUUUGAACGCACAUUGCGCCCUCUGGUAUUCCGGAGGGCAUGCCUGUUCGAGCGUCAGGGGGGCCCGCAAGCCUGGGCUUGGUGAUGGGGCACUGCUUUCUCCACGCCGAGCAGGCCCUCGAAAUUCAGUGGCUACCUCGCCAGGACCCCCAAGCCGCAGUAGUUAAACCCUCGCCUCUGGAAAGCCUGAGCGGGCGCCCCGGCCGGGGACCCCCGGAGCAGGUAGGAAUAC
rnacentral:misc_RNA from 1 species